CUCCUACAUUCCCGGAGAAGGAGGCGUCCAGGGAAAGCUGGGGAAGAGGCAGCAAGCAGGCAGCAGCCAGCUUGGUGGGUGUCACGCAAUCCCAGAGAACAGAGGUUUUCAUACGGAAGUGGGGGUCAGCCAUGUCAGCUGCUGUGAAGGGCCAGCAGGGUGAAGACAGAGCACUGGCUGUUGGCUGGGACCGGGUGGACCUGAUUCACGAGGUUCUAAGGUCCAUCGUGAGGACUUAGAACUGAGUUGGCUGGGGGCACAUCAAUACACAGGAACUCUCAGGAACUCUGCCGGGAGACAGGGCGGGAGGGAUGCGGAUGAGUACAGCUAUGUCUAUAUCUAUAUCUAUAUAAAGAUAUCCCAAUAUUUACUUAAAUCCAGGAUCGAGGAGCUCGGGUGCACGUCCUUCAAUGCUUUCAGCCUUACCUUUGGCCUCUGCCCCACAGUGUGGGGACCGUCCUGCCUACCAAGGAUUCCUGCCUCUGCAGCGCCUGUCACCCUCUGUGCCCCAGUCCACGUGCUGUGGCAGAAUGGGGGAGGGGUGCAUGGGUGGUGCACAGUGGGCAUCCCUGGCAAAGUGAGGUGGGAAGGGGCCUUCCAGAGGUACAGGGCCACCAAUCAUGAGCAUCUUGACCCGAGACAGAUUUGCGAUGUUCAUUCCACAGGUAAUAAGCCAGUAAAAGAGUUUUAUGCAAGUAAGUGAUGGGAUUUGGCCUGUGUUUCAGAAAAGCAGUCGCUCAUUGCGUUAGGGGAGCACCUGCUCAGUGCAUGAGAGGGAGAGGGUGAGUGAGGUUUUCUUAAGGAAAAUCCAGAGAGAUGGGAAAGGAGAACAAGGGUGGGUAAGGAAGCCUUUCAUAGGGCAGAGGACCAGAGACCGACGGGGGGCCCCAGGGAGAGGGAAGCAAGCGUGCGAUGGGGAAGCUCAGCGACCUGGCCGCUGUGACAACAGACCAGAAUGUCUGACUGAGCUGGAGCAGAGCAAGGGCCCGCGGGCGCCUUUCCCACCGAGCGGACCAGCCCGCAGCCAAGGACCCCUUGCUCUCCUCUCUUGCCAGGGUGCCUUUUGUCCCAGCCUUCUCAAGCACUGAAUGAUCACAGCUCCCCAGGCGAGAGUUUCUAAGAAGGAUGUUCAAGAACUACUUGUCCUACCUUCAAUUUGCGGUAUGAAUCAUGUGCAGGGGACGUUCUCUAGAGCAGGGUGAGCACCGAGAGGAAGCCAAGGGGAAUUCCCAAGCACCCUAUCCUUCCCGAGCUCUCGGUUCAGAAACAAUGGCCGGACGUCUGAACCGGGGGCAUCGGGCCAGGAACUGAAGAGGAGGCGACAGGACGCCAGAACCAUGAGGGAGCCUCUCCGCGGCAUCGGCCCGAGGGCCCAGAGGCACAGGUCAGCCCGGUGUACAAGCCUUACAGUCCAGACUCAGAAAGAAACCUCAAACCAUACAAGAGCCUCUAAAAAAUAUGUUGGACUCCACUGUAAUGUGUAAUUGCAAAAAAUAUGUAAUAACUCCAUCACAGUCAUUCUACUGGCUUCCCAUCUCAUUCAGAUUAAAAGCUCGAGUCCUUAGAGUCAGUUCUAGCACGUACAUCAUCUACACGAGCCCCCCACUCCAUCCUCAGUCCCCGGGCCUGCCCACCUCGCUGAAGCAUUCGGCUACUUCCCCCAGCCCUGGCUCACUCUGUUUCCACACUAGUUCCCUCACGGGCCUCAAUACACAAAGCAGACUCUGCCCCAGGACCUUUGUACAAGCAGCUUCCUUUAUAACUAAAUGGCUAUAUCACCUUCUUCAGUCUCUGUGCAAAUGCUGACUUGUCUGUGACUUUCCCUGGAAGUCUUAUGCAAAUCACCCUUUUUCCUGAUCUCAGGUUUCUGUUUACCUUGAUUUUUUAUCUCCAUAGCAGUUACCAUCUAACAUAAGUGUUUACUUUCUGUCUCCCUUCUCUAGAAUGACAUGAU